UACGUAGGGGGCAAGCGUUGUCCGGAAUCAUUGGGCGUAAAGCGCGCGUAGGCGGCCCUGUAAGUCCGUUGUGAAAGUCAAAGGCUCAACCUUUGAAAGCCGAUGGAUACUGCAGGGCUAGAGUCCGGAAGAGGCGAGUGGAAUUCCUGGUGUAGCGGUGGAAUGCGCAGAUAUCAGGAGGAACACCAAUAGCGAAGGCAGCUCGCUGGGACGGUACUGACGCUAAGGUGCGAAAGCGUGGGGAGCGAACAGG
rnacentral:rRNA from 1 species